rnacentral:piRNA from 1 species
UGAUAUUAAGAAGACAGGGCCUCGCCGCU